AUUGAACGCUGGCGGCAGGCCUAACACAUGCAAGUCGAACGGUAACAGGAAGAAGCUUGCUUCUUUGCUGACGAGUGGCGGACGGGUGAGUAAUGUCUGGGAAACUGCCUGAUGGAGGGGGAUAACUACUGGAAACGGUAGCUAAUACCGCAUAACGUCGCAAGACCAAAGAGGGGGACCUUCGGGCCUCUUGCCAUCGGAUGUGCCCAGAUGGGAUUAGCUAGUAGGUGGGGUAACGGCUCACCUAGGCGACGAUCCCUAGCUGGUCUGAGAGGAUGACCAGGCACACUGGAACCGAGACAAGGUCCAGAAUCCUAAGGGAGGCAGCAGGGGGGAAUAUUGGACAAUGGGGGCAAACCUGAAUCAGGCAUGCCGGGUUGAAUAAAAAGGCCUUCCGGGUUUAAAAGUCCUUCAAGCGGGAAGAAAGGGGGUAAGGUAAUACCCUUGCCCAUUUGCGUUACCCGCAGAAGAAGCACCGGCUAACUCCGUG
rnacentral:rRNA from 1 species